rnacentral:rRNA from 1 species
UACGGAGGGAGCUAGCGUUGUUCGGAAUUACUGGGCGUAAAGGGCGCGUAGGCGGCCUGCUAAGUCGAACGUGAAAUCCCUGGGCUCAACCCAGGAACUGCGUCCGAUACUGGUUGGCUUGAAUCCGGGAGAGGGACGUGGAAUUCCAGGUGUAGCGGUGAAAUGCGUAGAUAUCUGGAGGAACACCGGUGGCGAAGGCGACGUCCUGGACCGGCAUUGACGCUGAGGCGCGAAAGCCAGGGGAGCAAACGGG